ensembl:lncRNA novel transcript
UGUGUUCCCUUAACUACAAAACUGCGAUAAUUUUGUAAAAGCUGCCACUCCAAGCUCAAAGUAUUGUUAUGAGGAUCAAAUACUUAAAUGUGCUUCACAGAUUGUAAAGUUUCAUACAAAUGCCUUUUUUAAUAACUUAUUAUUAUUAAGAUCAAAUAAUGAUGCGUCUCCAGGAGCAAAGAUGAGAGAGAUAGCGGGGGAAAACGAGCAAGUGCAUCCCUGAAAGAAGCAAAGUCUCUAACUAUUGCAUUAUCAAUUGCAAACGAAGUGCUACGUGGAACCAUGUUUUAUGAUGCAAGGGGGAGAAAGAGUAUAAUUUCUACUUCUGAUGCAAGAGGCAGAAAUAGUCAACUUUGACGAACGAUCCAUGUUUGAAGAUGCAAUUAGAAAAACCUCUCUCUUACUUGUAAGAUGAAAAAGCAUGAUACAGAUGAGACUGAAAGAAAUAUCUAACUCUUAAGCAUCCUGAUCUAAGGAAUUCAGCUUGAUUUUCCCCCCAAGGCACAGCAAUAUUGGGGAAAAACAGCUCAGAAACUUGGGGUUUUUUUUUAAGGUUUAUUUGUUCCAAGAAACUAACUUUCUUUCCAU